UACAUGUACUUAGAGUACUGCACUGGAAAAAUAGCCUCAGGCUGAGCAGUGAGGUUGUGGUGGAGUUGUAAAAACGGUACGUGCUUAAACGAGUCACUGGCCUAAAAUGAGUAGAGAUUACUGUAUAUGCUUAUGGAGAAUUUUAUCUGCAUUUUUUUACAGCUUUAGCUUACCUCUGACCCGAGUCACAACACAGGGGUCUUGUCAGCCGAGUGUAUGGCACUUCCAGCAAAAACGCAAUUAGACUGGAAGGGUGGUAGCUUUAUUAUCAUGCUUCACGAACAUCAGACAUGAGCACUGCAGUGGAUUGACUUCUUCAGGAAGAUGACUGUCAGCUAUCACAGUGAGGUUGACCAGUAAGCUCGAGGCAGAGACUCAAGUAGUGAAGGUGGGUGAAACUAAACUGCCAUCAUUUUCCAUAAGCACCCAGAAUCGAUAAAAGCGUCUAAGAAAACGUCAUAAAAAAGCCAUUAAAAUCAUUUUGAGACAACGAAAA